rnacentral:rRNA from 1 species
AUUGAACGCUGGCGGCAUGCCUUACACAUGCAAGUCGAACGGCAGCACGGGUGCUUGCACCUGGUGGCGAGUGGCGAACGGGUGAGUAAUACAUCGGAACGUACCUUAUCGUGGGGGAUAACGCAGCGAAAGCUGUGCUAAUACCGCAUACGCCCUGAGGGGGAAAGCGGGGGAUCGCAAGACCUCGCGCGAUUAGAGAGGCCGAUGCCUGAUUAGCUUGUUGGUGGGGUAAAAGCCCACCAAGGCGACGAUCAGUAGCUGGCCUGAGAGGACGAUCAGCCACACUGGGACUGAGACACGGCCCAGACUCCUACGGGAGGCAGCAGAGGGGAAUUUUGGACAAUGGGGGCAACCCUGAUCCAGCAAUGCCGCGUGAGUGAAGAAGGCCUUCGGGCUGUAAAGCUCUUUUGUCAGGGAAGAAACACCGGCUCUAACACAGUCUGGGAAUGACGGUACCUGAAGAAUAAGCACCGGCUAACUACGUGCCAGCAGCCGCGGUAA